UACAAUUACAGUGGAAGGUAUAUGUAGUCAACACUGUAACCCAGCCUGUUAACUACAGUAGAAGGUAUAUGUAGUCAACACUGUAACCCAGCCUGUUAACUACAGUAGAAGGUAUAUGUAGUCAACACUAUAACCCAGCCUGUUAACUACAGUAGAAGGUAUAUGUAGUCAACACUAUAACCCAGCCUGUUAACUACAGUAGAAGGUAUAUGUAGUCAACACUAUAACCCAGCCUGUUAACUACAGUAGAAGGUAUAUGUAGUCAACACUAUAACCCAGCCUGUUAACUACAGUAGAAGGUAUAUGUAGUCAACACUAUAACCCAGCCUGUUAACUACAGUAGAAGGUAUAUGUAGUCAACACUGUAACCCAGCCUGUUAACUACAGUAGAAGGUAAUGUAACUACAGUAGAAGGUAUAUGUAGUCAACACUAUAACCCAGCCUGUUAACUACAGUAGAAGGUAUAUGUAGUCAACACUAUAACCCAGCCUGUUAACUACAGUAGAAGGUAUAUGUAGUCAACACUAUAACCCAGCCUGUUAACUACAGUAGAAGGUGUAUG